rnacentral:rRNA from 1 species
UACGUAGGGUGCGAGCGUUAAUCGGAAUUACUGGGCGUAAAGCGUGCGCAGGCGGUUUUGUAAGCCAGAUGUGAAAUCCCCGGGCUUAACCUGGGAAUGGCAUUUGGGACUGCAAGGCUCGAGUGCGGCAGAGGAGACUGGAAUUCCUGGUGUAGCAGUGAAAUGCGUAGAUAUCAGGAGGAACACCGAUGGCGAAGGCAGGUCUCUGGGCUGACACUGACGCUGAGGCGCGAAAGCCAGGGGAGCAAACGGG